GUUAAAAAGCUCGUAGUCGGAUUUCUGCGCGGGUGGGGCAGCCAGUGCCGCUUUUGGCUCAGCGCUAGCAACGCCCGCGCAUCCUGCCGCGAACGUCGCUACCAUUGAUUUGGUGGCGUCUCGGGAUCGGCUCGUUUACUUUGAGAAAAAUAGAGUGUUCAAAGCAGGCCAACCCGCCUUGAAUAAGUUAGCAUGGAAUAAUGAUAAAGGACUUCGGUUCUAUUUUGUUGGUGUUCCGGGACUGAAGUAAUGAUUGAUAGGGACGGUUGGGGGCCUCAGUAUUUCGGAGCGAGAGGUGAAAUUCUUAGACCUCCGGAAGACUAACCGCUGCGAAAGCGUUGGCCAAGGACGUUCCCUUUGAUCAAGAACGAAAGUUGGGGGAUCGAAGACCAUCAGAUACGGUCGUAGUCUCCACUAUAAACUAUACCAGCUAGGGAUCGGCCGAUGUUGUAACCUUAAGACUCGGUCGGCACCUUAUGAGAAAUCAAAGCGUCUGGGUUCCGGGGGGAGUAUGGUCGCAAGGCUGAAACUUAAAGGAAUUGACGGAAGGGCACCACCAGGCGUGGAGCCUGCGGCUUAAUUUGACUCAACACGGGGAAACUUACCAGGUCCAGACAUAGUGAGGAU
rnacentral:rRNA from 1 species